GCAGUCGAACGGUGAAGGUGGGAGCUUGCUCCUACCGGAUCAGUGGCGAACGGGUGAGUAACACGUGAGUAACCUGCCCCAGACUCUGGAAUAACCCCGGGAAACCGGAGCUAAUACCGGAUACGAGACGAAGCUGCAUGGCUAUCGUCUGGAAAGUUUUUCGGUCUGGGAUGGACUCGCGGCCUAUCAGCUUGUUGGUGAGGUAACGGCUCACCAAGGCGACGACGGGUAGCCGGCCUGAGAGGGCGACCGGCCACACUGGGACUGAGACACGGCCCAGACUCCUACGGGAGGCAGCAGUGGGGAAUAUUGCACAAUGGGCGAAAGCCUGAUGCAGCGACGCCGCGUGAGGGAUGACGGCCUUCGGGUUGUAAACCUCUUUCAGCAGGGAAGAAGCGAAAGUGACGGUACCUGCAGAAGAAGCACCGGCUAACUACGUGCUUGCAGCCGCGGUAAUACGUAGGGUGCGAGCGUUGUCCGGAAUUAUUGGGCGUAAAGAGCUUGUAGGCGGUUUGUCGCGUCUGCCGUGAAAAUUCGAGGCUCAACCUCGAACUUGCGGUGGGUACGGGCAGACUAGAGUGUGGUAGGGGAGACUGGAAUUCCUGGUGUAGCGGUGAAAUGCGCAGAUAUCAGGAGGAACACCGAUGGCG
rnacentral:rRNA from 1 species